CGCAUCUGUGCAUGCAGCAUAUCAAUAAGCGGAGGAAAGGAACCUGACCCUGCUAUACCUACGCUUAGGAUGUUGACACACGCGCGUGCUCGAGUCCUAUACAUGACUCUGUGCAUAUCAAUAAGCGGAGGAAAAGAAACUAACAAGGACUUCCCUUAGUAACGGCGAGUGAAGCGGGAAGAGCUCAAAUUUGAAAUCUUCAAGGUUUUACCUUGACGAAUUGUAGUUUAAAGAAGUGUUUUCUGUUGAAGUUUUGGUAAAAGUUCUUUGGAAUAGGACAUCAUAGAGGGUGAGAAUCCCGUAUUUGACCAUUAUUUUCAGCUGUGUGAUACACUUUCAAAGAGUCGGAUUGUUUGGGAAUGCAGUCCAAAAUGGGUGGUAAAUUUCAUCUAAAGCUAAAUAUUGGCGAGAGACCGAUAGCGAACAAGUACCGUGAGGGAAAGAUGAAAAGAACUUUGAAAAGAGAGUUAAACAGUACGUGAAAUUGUCAAAAGGGAAGCGUUUGACACCAGUGUUGUUUUCUCGAAAAUCAAUUAAAAAGAGUUAGAUUUUGUUGUGUAUUGACCUUAACAGCUUGCAUUUCAAUUUUCUUGCUUUUUUUAAUGCACUUUUCGUUUAACAAGUCAACAUCAGUUUCUUUUGUUGUAAAAAGGUCAUUGGAAGGUGGCUUUCUUUUCGGAGAAAGUGUUUAUAGCCUUUGACUCCUGCAAUCGGAGAGACUGAGGUCUGCAGCGUAGAUCCUUCGGGGUUAGAUACAUUUGUGCUAAGUUAUAGCUUUUUAUAGACAACUUGUUGACUAUGAUUAGUCUUGUAGCUUACUCGCUUAUGCUAUUUUACCUACGCUUAGGAUGUUGACACACGCGCGUGCUCG
rnacentral:rRNA from 1 species